GACGAACGCUGGCGGCGUGCUUAACACAUGCAAGUCGAACGGACGACCUUAUUUCGGUAAGGAAGUUAGUGGCAAACGGGUGAGUAACACGUAGGCAACCUGCCGACAGGAUGGGGACAACAUUCCGAAAGGGAUGCUAAUACCGAAUGGAGUAGAGAGAAGGCAUCUUCUCUUUACGAAAGAUGGCCUCUUUAUAUGCUAUCGCCUGUCGAUGGGCCUGCGUCUGAUUAGCUAGUUGGUGAGGUAAAGGCUCACCAAGGCGACGAUCAGUAGCCGGUCUGAGAGGAUGAACGGCCACAUUGGGACUGAGACACGGCCCAGACUCCUACGGGAGGCAGCAGUGGGGAAUCUUCCGCAAUGGGCGAAAGCCUGACGGAGCAACGCCGCGUGAGUGAAGAAGGUCUUCGGAUCGUAAAGCUCUGUUGUCGAGGACGAAUGUUAGCUAUGCGAACA
rnacentral:rRNA from 1 species